CUUGCUCCUUUGACGUUAGCGGCGGACGGGUGAGUAACACGUGGGUAACCUACCUAUAAGACUGGGAUAACUUCGGGAAACCGGAGCUAAUACCGUAUAAUAUUUCGAACCGCAUGGUUCGAUAGUGAAAGGUGGUUUUGCUAUCACUUAUAGAUGUACCCGCGCCGUAUUAGCUAGUUGGUAAGGUAACGGCUUACCAAGGCGACGAUACGUAGCCGACCUGAGAGGGUUAUCGGCCACACUGGAACUUAGACACGGUCCAGACUCCUACGGGAGGCAGCAGGA
rnacentral:rRNA from 1 species